rnacentral:tRNA from 2 species
ACCCCAUAAAUAAAGUUUUAAACUUUUAUUAGAAA